GAUGAACGCUGGCGGCAUGCCUAAUACAUGCAAGUCGAACGAGAACCUUCGGGUUCUAGUGGCGAACGGGUGAGUAACACGUAGAUAACCUGCCCACCAGACCGGGAUAACUGAUGGAAACGUCUGCUAAUACCGGAUAGUUACAGAGGAGGCAUCUCCUUUGUAUUAAGGUCGGGACACGACACUGAUGGAUGGAUCUGCGGUGCAUUAGCUAGUUGGUGAGGUAACGGCCCACCAAGGCGAUGAUGCAUAGCCGGCCUGAGAGGGUGAACGGCCACAUUGGGACUGAGACACGGCCCAA
rnacentral:rRNA from 1 species